rnacentral:rRNA from 1 species
AACGAACGCUGGCGGCAUGCCUAACACAUGCAAGUCGAACGAGACCUUCGGGUCUAGUGGCGCACGGGUGCGUAACGCGUGGGAACCUGCCCUUAGGUUCGGAAUAACUCCCCGAAAGGGGUGCUAAUACCGGAUAAUGUCUUCGGACCAAAGAUUUAUCGCCUUUGGAUGGGCCCGCGUUUGAUUAGCUAGUUGGUAGGGUAAAAGCCUACCAAGGCGACGAUCCAUAGCUGGUCUGAGAGGAUGAUCAGCCACACUGGGACUGAGACACGGCCCAGACUCCUACGGGAGGCAGCAGUGGGGAAUAUUGGACAAUGGGCGAAAGCCUGAUCCAGCAAUGCCGCGUGAGUGAUGAAGGCCUUAGGGUUGUAAAGCUCUUUUACCCGGGAUGAAAAGACAGUACCGGGAGAAUAAGCUCCGGCUAACUCCG